rnacentral:sRNA from 1 species
CCUGGAUGUGUUCCGGAAGGGGUGGCUCUUUGCCAGCUGUGCCAAGGAUCAGAGCGUCCGCAUCUGGAGAAUGAACAAGGCUGGCCAGGUGAUCUGCGUGGCUCAGGGUUCCGGUCACACACACAGCGUGGGCACUGUCUGCUGCUCUAGGCUGAAGGAGUCCUUCCUGGUAACAGGCAGCCAGGACUGCACUGUGAAGCUGUGGCCUCUUCCCAAAGCCUUGCUGUCCAAGAACACAGCCCCAGACAACGGCCCCAUCCUCCUGCAGGCCCGGACCACUCAGCGCUGCCAUGAUAAGGACAUCAACAGCGUGGCUAUUGCCCCCAAUGACAAGCUGCUGGCCACAGGCUCACAGGACCGCACGGCCAAGCUCUGGGCCCUGCCGCAGUGCCAGCUGCUGGGUGUCUUCUCAGGCCACCGGCGUGGCCUCUGGUGCGUCCAGUUCUCUCCCAUGGACCAGGUGCUGGCCACGGCCUCAGCUGACGGCACCAUCAAGCUCUGGGCACUCCAGGACUUCAGCUGUCUCAAGGUAAGCGGCGCUCCAGGCCCUCCCCACCUCCCGCCCUGGUGACAUCUCAUGCCCUACCCCCCACCUUGCAGACAUUUGAGGGGCACGAUGCUUCUGUGCUGAAAGUGGCCUUUGUGAGCCGUGGCACGCAGCUGCUGUCCAGGUGAGUGGGGUGGGGCAGCGAUGGAGUGGGGGGUGGCGGGGGGACCUGCCUGACACUGAGCCUCUCCCCACCCCAAACCCAGCGGCUCGGAUGGCCUCGUGAAGCUCUGGACCAUCAAGAACAACGAGUGUGUGCGGACACUGGAUGCCCACGAGGACAAGGUCUGGGGGCUGCACUGCAGCCGGCUGGACGACCGCGCCCUCACUGGGGCCAGUGACUCCCGAGUCAUCCUCUGGAAGGU